rnacentral:rRNA from 1 species
UACCCGCGGUCCAAGUCGCAGCCAUCUUUAUUGGGUCUAAAACAUCCGUAGCUUGCUUCAUAAGUUCCUUGUGAAAUCCUAUGUCUCAAAUAUAGGGCGCGCAAGGAGUACUGUGGAGCUAGAGACUGGGAGACGUGAGAAGUACGUUUAAAGUAGUGGUAAAAUACGUUAAUCUUAGACGGACUAACAACAGCGAAGGCAUCUCACGAGAACAGUUCUGACAGUAAGGGAUGAAGGCUAGGGGCGCAAAACG